rnacentral:rRNA from 1 species
UACGGAGGGAGCUAGCGUUGUUCGGAAUUACUGGGCGUAAAGCGCGCGUAGGCGGCUAUUCAAGUCAGGGGUGAAAUCCCGGGGCUCAACCCCGGAACUGCCUUUGAAACUGGAUGGCUAGAAUCCUGGAGAGGCGAGUGGAAUUCCGAGUGUAGAGGUGAAAUUCGUAGAUAUUCGGAAGAACACCAGUGGCGAAGGCGACUCGCUGGACAGGUAUUGACGCUGAGGUGCGAAAGCGUGGGGAGCAAACAGG